rnacentral:piRNA from 1 species
CCCAAAAGCAAUAAGGUGGAAUCGA